CCUCUGGUGCCUUCAGUCAAGAUCUAAAACAACAAAAGUUAGUAACCAAGGAGCCUCAAAGAUGUAUCUUAAAGUAGUACAAUUUUGGGGGAAAAGGAACCAAAUGGAAGAGACGAAGCUGAUGAACAAAUGACACAGUAGCAUGUUAGAAGCGAUCAACUGAAAUAGCUUGGAUCUAAAAUAGAGAAAAUCAUUGGUUCAAGCAUGCAUAUUUAGGAAAAAGGCUACUCAACUUGAAUGAAACAGACAAUCUGUUUGUUAGAUAGAGAAGGCUGCAGCUCGCCUUGGUCGUGUUGGUUGUUCGGAAGAAAGCAAAGACGUGGAGUUUAAGCUAGGCAUCUGGUUGUCUCUUCUUUCGAUGAGGAGAAGCAGUAUUAGCACACUGGACGAGACAUGAAGUCUCUUUGCUUCCUCAAGACCCAACAAACUCCAGUGUGUCUUUAUUGGUAUCAUACUAUAAAUAUUAAUCUUCGUAGCUUGUGCUUCAACUACCUUAACCUCACCAGUUAAUAAGCAGAGACUAAUACAAAAUCAUGGGUAGUGACCUAAAUAUCCCUCGUGUUGCUGUAAUUUUCUCAGAAAGUGCAAGAAAUCAGAAGUUGUUGAAAGUGUUUCAACUUAUAAAGCUAAAAGUAAGUUCUCUGAACAAAAGGCAGAACAUUAUGAUCCCAUUUUUCUAGGAUUUUUUUUAAUUCUUUAAAAGUAGGGGUGAUGUGUGUCUUGACAGUAGCACUAAAAGCUUGAAGAAAAGAGAUGUGAAGAGAGCAUUACCAAGAUUAAUUCUUUCUUGCCAGAUCAAAUGAAGGAAAUGUUGCUCAGAAACUAGUAGCUCAAAAGCAUUGUUGAGAACGAGUUGGGGUGCUAUGCCAAUAAUAUGUAGGGACUAGAGAAGACUAUGGUGAGAACUGGCAAGCAAAAUGUAACUGGCAUGUGAAGGACUGAAGGCAUGGAAACAACAGUUUUUGAUCUUCAUGUAGAACUUAUGAGCAUAUAACAGAACACGUCAAAUAGCAAUCAUUUCCUAAUUGUGUCUUCUAGACAGUGCAAGGGAGGUCAAACCGUCAAAGCUAAGGGCUAUCAUAUCUUCAUCAUUAAGAACAGAAGACCUGAAAGAUGGGAAACUCACACUCUUUGAACUUGGCAUCUUUGCUGUUACUCUUCCAGCCGGAAGUUGGGAAAUGCAAGUCAUGCCUUCUCCAUUCUUCCGUAUUUUAUGCAUGUACCGGUACACUCCGCUAGGAGAAACAAACUGUACGACUACUUAAAAGAUUGGAGAAUUUAAAAGAAGUGCAUUUAACCGAAGCAUGCAACCGCUCUCAAAGUCAUCUACAUAACAAGACAAAGGAACUACCCUGGCUAAUGCGGUAACGACAUUGUGAUCCUAUCUUUUCAUCCUUUUUGACUGAUCAGGAGCCAAGAGAUACAGGCACAGGAGUUCAACCUCCAUGCUUUGGGUGGCUUUGUGCCUGCGAGAACUGAGCGAUCUGUCAACAGAACCAUGUUGGAACUUGUUCAUGGUCAAUCUUGUGAUGGGUUGCCUGCCAACCGAUGGAGAUUACGGUAUUAUUAUCUACUCCCUCCGUCCCACAAUAUAAGACAUUUUGGCAUAGCUUGCAAAAACUUCUUAUAUUAUGGGAGGGAGGGAUUAGUUGCAUAAUUCUCUUUCCCUUUGAUGAUACUGACCGACCUGAAGGAAGAGAUCUCGAGUGCUAUGGCAGGUCGUCGACAGAUUCUUCCUUGAGCACCCCUGAGGCGUUGUACCAUCGAUACGACUACUCGCUGCAUCGACAUGAGAAGACCGUCUGGGCGGGGUUUGAUCCCAGCCACUUGUUUCGGAUCCGAUGCUUGAAAAGCCUGUAACAAAGUUCAGGUAGAAAGAAAAACAAAAGGCCUGUAAUUAUUCUAGAUGCUGUCAUGUACUGUAACGCAAGAAUAUUCUUGUGAAGAAAAACAUUUUCCUGUUUCUGGAUUUGGGAAUGGAUGCCAAUGCAUGUGCAGGCACGAGUUA